ensembl:lncRNA
GCAGGAGCCGCGCUGACGCCGGCGGCGGUGCCGGCAGCGGGCCGGGCGCGGGGAUUUGGGUACGGGGCGCAGGUCCGGUCCCCGGGCGACUGGGACAGUCGGCGUCGCCAUGGGUCGCUCCUUGAGUUCGAAGCUCGCGGCCAAGAGGGGUCGGUAGGGGAGAGGGGGACGGUAGCGCAACCCCACCCCCGCUCCGGUGCGCGCUUGCCGCGCAGUCUGCGCACUGGAGAAGAGCGCGAUUAUCCGCGUGACUCAUCCAGCUCGGGAGGAACCAAGAAAGAAAUACCUGCAACCUCCUCCUCCGUAGCUUUCAUUGUGAUGGCAAACAUUUCUUGGGAUACUGGGGCUUGAAGAUACACGGAAAAGUUAAUCCACUUUACCAUCAAAGCCAAGAUUCUUAAACUGCAUUGAACUUGGAUAAGUCCUUGAUUGGCAACCCUCACCCUCUUGAUGUGUAAGUCAGGACUUGGCAUUUUCUAGUUGGGGAACCAGUGCCGUGAGGAGCUUUCUGCUUUUCUCUUAUUUAUCUAAGGCAGUAGGCCUUCCCCUUCAACAAAAGUAACCACCACAGUGAGAAAACAAUAUUACACAGAUGAAUAGGAAAGCCACUAUUAUUAUGUCAUAUAAUCAAGACAGGAUUCUGAAACUCAAUUAAAAAAGGCAAACUUUCCUAACAGCCUUCUGGAGGAGGAAAGCCAGUGCCUCUUUGUGGCAGGCAGCUUUCUGGUUAUUCCUCUGAUUGCAUCAUAAAGGGAACUCUCUAGAUUUGCUCCAGCAUUUCUAAAAGAGGUAAGGAACUUCAAGUUCACAAGUCAUCUCCUUUCAAGGCAGGUGCCUGGCGUGACAUCAGGGUUAUGACCAUGCCUCUUUUCAGAACAGCACAAACUGCAUUAGUUGGCAGAAGAUGUGAUGGAAACGACUAGUGCUAAGGGAUUAAUGUGGAGCCACAGAGGAGUGUGAUAGAUUGAAGAGGCUACAUCAGUGUUUCAAGGGAAGGACCUGGCACCCAGAGCUGGGCACCAGAAUCUGGGCAUCUGACAGCACCCUAGCUUGUAUGUAAAUGCCACAGGAUUCAGGAAAAGCUGUUUUUUUCAGAAGGUGAAAGAUUCUCCAGGGCACCUUCAACUUCAUGAGGACAGGAGCUGUUGUUUUUUCAUUACCAUAUUCCCAAGUUCUAGUACAGUG